UACGUAGGGCGCAAGCGUUAUCCGGAAUUAUUGGGCGUAAAGAGCUCGUAGGCGGCUUGUCACGUCGGGUGUGAAAGCUCGGGGCUUAACCCCGGGUCUGCAUUCGAUACGGGCUGGCUGGAGUGUGGUAGGGGAGAUCGGAAUUCCUGGUGUAGCGGUGGAAUGCGCAGAUAUCAGGAGGAACACCGGUGGCGAAGGCGGGUCUCUGGGCAGUAACUGACGCUGAGGAGCGAAAGCGUGGGGAGCGAACAGG
rnacentral:rRNA from 1 species